rnacentral:rRNA from 1 species
UACGUAGGGGGCAAGCGUUGUCCGGAAUCAUUGGGCGUAAAGCGCGUGUAGGCGGCUCGAUAAGUCUGCUGUGAAAGUUCAGGGCUCAACCCUGAAAUGCCGGUGGAAACUGUCGGGCUAGAGUCCGGAAGAGGCGAGUGGAAUUCCUGGUGUAGCGGUGAAAUGCGCAGAUAUCAGGAGGAACACCAAUGGCGAAGGCAGCUCGCUGGGACGGUACUGACGCUGAGGAGCGAAAGCGUGGGGAGCGAACAGG